GGAAGGAUCAUUAACAAUUUACCGCAUCUCCGGUAAAAUUCACUUAUUCUCGGUUAAAAAAAACGAUUUCUGGGUUAUCGGGUCCAGGGUAAUCAACCGAUAUGAUUUUUUUUUACAAUUUACCGAAUUCGGUCUUAAACACCCGAUAUUCAACCACAAUACAAUUGCCGUCAGUGGAUAUCUCGGUUACCAGGUCGAUGAAGAGCGCAGCGAAAUGCGUUACCUAGUGUGACAUGCAUUCCCUCGUGAAUCACCGACAUCUUGAACGUAAAUGACGGAGCGGGUUCAUCCCCGCUUCAAUCACGAGCGAGUGCCAAUAUUUCACCACAAAAUUGAGUGUUCGGUCUUUUUCACCCAUAACCAAGGGAAAGAAAAAAAUUACCGUCGCUUUAAAUCUAACCGUAUUCCUGGGGGUUAACUAAAACCUUCGGUUUUCUUGAAUUAACUGGAAUUACGGGUAAUCCUACCGUGAAAUUAUUUUUACGGUUAACUUUUCCGGGUAAUUUUACCUGGACAAAUUUGACCUCGAUCGUGAUAGACUACCCGCUGAAUUUAAGCAUAUCAAUAAGCGGAGGAGAAGAAAAUAACAAUGAUUCCCCUAGUAACUGCGAGUGAACCGGGAAAAGUGCAUCCUGAAUCCGGUGAAAUUUUUUUUACUGGAGUUGUGGGGUAGUGAACGUAACCAGAUUUGGUGGCUUGGUGAACUUACCUGAGAAGGUAGACCACAGAGGGUUAAAGUCCCGUAAUCUUGCUUUUACCGGGUCGUACGGUUAUGAUUCCGCGAGUCGCGUUGCCUGAGAUCGCAACGCUAACCGGGGGUAUGUUCUCCCGAACACUAAAUAUUACUGGUAAACCGAUAGCGAACAAGUACCGUGAGGGAAAGGUCAAAAGAACUCUGGAAAGAGAGUGAAAAGAACUUGAAACUGACGUCAAGGAAGCGGUGUGGAAACUUGCAGCGGAUCAUUUGAUUCCUGGUGAAAUUAACGUGAUACGGUAAAACUUGUGCGGAGGGUUAGCUCGCCAGGUUAUUGGAUCACGGUAAUUUUGCCGGUACUUCAAGUACCGCUACCCGUUAUCUCGGUAAUUUAAUGAUAAUGCUCGGUUUAGUACACUGUAGGAGACUACGGUAGAACAAUCGGGAUUUGAUAAUUGAAAUACCGGGAGAAAAGUAGCGAGAGCCUUUAUCGGUAAUCCUAUAGGGUAACUUAUCCGUGCAAUAGAUUAGACUCUUCACCGAGACGAGUCUUUGUACGGGUAAUAUGACUUUUACGGAUAUUCUCGUUUACGGGCAAAGUAUCCCUACCGACCCGUCUUGAAACACGGACCAAGGAGUCCAACACCUAUGCGAGUGAAUCAGUAAAUAAAACUGAUACGCGUAAUGAAAGUGACCCGGUGAAAAAUCCGUAAUGGAUUUGGCAGCCGGUACCGACACGGGUAUUUUUAUCCGAGUUUGAGUAUGAGCACAGGUGUUGGGACCCGAAAGAUAGUGAACUAUACCCGGGCAGAAUGAAGCCAGAAGAAAUUCUGGUGGAAGUUCGUAGAGAUACUGACGUGCAAAUCGUUCUCGGGAUCCAGGUAUAGCGGCGAAAGACUAAUCGAACUGUCUAGUAGCUGGUUUCCAC
rnacentral:misc_RNA from 1 species